AUUGAACGCUGGCGGCAGGCUUAACACAUGCAAGUCGAGCGAGCGGCGGACGGGUGAGUAAUGUAUGGGGAUCUGCCUGAUGGAGGGGGAUAACUACUGGAAACCGUAGCUAAUACCGCAUACCAUCCUUUGAACCCAUAUGGGAUUAGCUUGUAGGUGAGGUAACGGCUCACCUAGGCGACGAUCCCUAGCUGGUCUGAGAGGAUGAUCAGCCACACUGGGACUGAGACACGGCCCAGACUCCUACGGGAGGCAGCAGUGGGGAAUAUUGGACAAUGGGCGCAAGCCGGAUGCAGCCAUGCCGCGUGAAUGAAGAAGGCCUGCGGGUUGUAAAGUACUUUCAGUCGGGAGGCGUUACCGACAGAGGAAGCAACGGCUAACUACGUGCCAGCAGCCGCGGUAAUAC
rnacentral:rRNA from 1 species